GCCUGUUUGUGUGCUGCGGCCGCCCCGUGACACUGGAUCUUGUCUUCUGGCCGGCGCCUCGAUUCCUGCCCAGCUGGAUUUGGGGGGCGACAGCGCCUGGCGCAGGGCGGAGAGCAAAUGAGACUGCGAAGAAGCAUAAAAUGAAUAGACAAUACAACCAACCAAAGACCGGGGGCAGCAGCACGCCAGCAAGACGGCAUCUUCUCCUCCCCAGCCUAGAAGCCCUGUGAAAUCGAGGAUCUUCCCCCUAAAACACACACACACGAGAUAUGUGCAAUCAAGCUGCCACCGCUUGGUAAAAAGCUCACGGUGCCUAACCCAAAAGGAUCAGGAGCAGAUCCUUGAAUCAGCUGUCACCUCUUCUAUAGAAUGGGAUGUUUUUUUUUUCCUUCCUCCUUAACCUGCGCUGGAAAUUGCCGUUGGCUUUGUACAUCUCUAUAGAGGGAGGCUAAAGAGUCU